AAAAUUAACAGUUUGGAAAUUGUUCAAAAAGGACUCACGGCGUCCAUGCUUAACGGGGCUGCCGUCUUGAAAACGUCAGAUUCUAAUUCACUGUUUCCUUUUUUGUGCGAGCCAAAAGGUGAUUUUCAAGACUCUUGCCUCGCUCUUAAGUGCAACAAAGUCAGCACAUUCUUUGACGCAAACGGGAAUAUUAAGGAUGGAGAAAAGUAUGAGAAAUGGACACGCACCUGCGACAUAUUGUUCCUUUUUUCUGGCAAGCUUG